AGAGUUUGAUCCUGGCUCAGAACGAACGCUGGCAGCGUGGAUUAGGCAUGCAAGUCGAACGAGAAGCCACAGUUUCAAGUUUUCGGACAAGAAACUGUGGUGGACAGUGGCGGAAGGGUGAGGAACACGUGGGUAAUCUACCUCUGAGUUGGGGACAACCCUGGGAAACUGGGGCUAAUACCGAAUAUGAUCGCGCCGCGCCUGUGGUGCUGAUUAAAGGCGGGGAUCUUCGGACCUGCCGCUUAGAGAGGAACCCGCGUCCCAUCAGCUUGUUGGUGAGGUAAUGGCUCACCAAGGCUUACGGGUAGCUGGUCUGAGAGGAUGAUCAGCCACACUGGGACUGAGACACUGCCCAGACUCCUACGGGAGGCUGCAGUCGAGGAUCAUUGACAAUGCGCGAAAGCGUGAACAUGCGACGCUGCGUGGGGGAUGAAGGCCUUAGGGUCGUAAACUCCUGUCAUUCGGGAAAAAAAAGCGGGCCGUUAAUAGCGGUUCGCCUCGAUGGUACCUAAAGAGGAAGCCACGGCUAACUCUGUGCCAGCAGCCGCGGUAAUACAGAGGUGGCGAGCGUUGUUCGGAUUUACUGGGCGUAAAGAGUACGUAGGUGGUUUUGUAUGUCGGAUGUGAAAGCCCAUGGCUCAACUGUGGAAUUGCAUUCGAAACUGCGGAACUAGAGUGCAGGAGAGGAGAGCGGAAUUCUUGGUGUAGCGGUGAAAUGCGUUGAUAUCAAGAAGAACACCGGUGGCGAAGGCGGCUCUCUGGAAUGUUACUGACACUGAGGUACGAAAGUUGGGGGAGCAAACAGGAUUAGAUACCCUGGUAGUCCCAGCCGUAAACGGUGUGCACUUGGUGUGGGGGGAAUUGACCCCCUCCGUGCCGGAGCUAACGCGUUAAGUGCACCGCCUGGGGAGUACGGCCGCAAGGCUAAAACUCAAAGAAAUUGACGGGGGCCCGCACAAGCGGAGGAGCAUGUGGCUUAAUUCGAUGCAACGCGAAGAACCUUACCAGGGCUUGACAUGGGGACCCUUCGGGGGUGGUAGCGAAAGUUACCUUUACGAUCACAGGUGCUGCAUGGCUGUCGUCAGCUCGUGCCGUGAGGUGUUGGGUUAAGUCCCGCAACGAGCGCAACCCUUGUGUUUAGUUGCCAUCACAGGUGAUGAGCCUGUGAGCACUCUAAACAGACUGCCCGUGCAAGCGGGAGGAAGGUGGGGAUGACGUCAAGUCCGCGUGGCCCUUAUGCCCAGGGCUACACACGUGCUACAAUGGCAGAUACAGAAGGAUGCCAACCUGCAAGGGGGAGCCAAUCCUAUAAAGUCCAUCUCAGUUGGGAUCGGAGUCUGCAACUCGACUCCGUGAACCUGGAAUCGCUAGUAAUCGUGGAUCAGCACGCCACGGUGAAUACGUUCCCGGGCCUUGUACACACCGCCCGUCACACCACGAAAGUCUGUUGUACCCGAAGUGGGUGAGCUAAUUCCGAGCAAUCGGGAAGGCAGCCUCCGAAGGUAUGACCGGUAAUUGGGGUGAAGUCGUAACAAGGUAGCCGUAGGGGAACCUGCGGCUGGAUCACCUCCUU
rnacentral:rRNA from 1 species